AAAAAAUCAAACAAAAUUAUAAAUUGAUUACAUUUUCUAAAACUACUAAUUAUCUUUUUCUCAUUCAUCAAAUCAUUGUAAACUGAGUUCCAUUAGAGAGUUCGUUGAUAGCAAGCUCCACCACCGCCAAUACAGGUUUUACGAUUUGAAGUUCACCACGCAUACAAUUACCAAUGACACAAGUUUCAUCCCGGGAAGAAUGUUGGAAUUGGCAAGGACCAUACAAUCUUUGCUCUAAUUGAUGGAUUAGUGAAAUUUGAGAAGUAUGGUCCUGACAAGAAAAAGGUGAGUGUUUAUCCACGAGAAAUAUAGCCUGAAAACCCCAACAGCUACAAAGCAAGAAGAGAAGGAUAUUCUUUUCAAUCACACCUAAUCCUGGCAUCUGAUGCCACUGAUAAUGCUGAUGAAAGUUAUCCGCUACUGUUUCCUUAUGGUUCUUACGGCGGGAUUUAAACAGAAGUUCGACUGGUAAAACGUUGACAUGCCGAGAAUUCUAUGCAUACACAUUUCAGUUGUCUACUCCAACAAUUUGUUGUCGAUAACUGUGUCAAAAGGCAAGCGAAUAACUUGAGGUGGAUUGCACUCAACCAAGAUAAGAUACGUGCUGAUUUAUACAAGGGUUUAGAGAAUUCUUUAAAUGUUGGAGAGCAUAACUGAAAUUCUGAUUUUUCGUUGAGAUAUGUUAGUUGUAACAAAAUAAUUUUAACUUUAAUUCAUACUUUCACACACAUCGCGUGCAUAUAAAACUAGGAUUUGAUAAUGUUGUGUAUGUUUUUUAUAUUGUGCUAAUAUUUUUUUUUCAAAACUUUUCAACCAUGCGUUUGUAAU